rnacentral:lncRNA from 1 species
UUCAUCUUUAUUAUUAUUAUUAUUAUUGUUAUUGUUAUUGUUAUUGUUAUUAUUUAUUUUUAAAUUAGUUCUAUUUGACUUUUCUUAUUUGUGGUUUUAAUUAAUUAAUUAAUUAUGUUGGGACCCUCAUUUGUUUUUGUAGUUGCUGAUAUAUCCUCAAAUCUACUUGAAUGGCUGCACCUGUGGUGGUGUGAGGUGAAAGGACAAGAUUGUCAAGAUAAAUAGUUCCAUGAAAUAAUAUAUCUGUUCACAGCCUGAGCAAGAGGUUCAGCUUCUGUUUAAAUAAC